CACCUGGGAAGCUUUCUGAGAUGAGCAAAACUGCUGGUCAUUCUCUGGGCAUGGAGAAAUGAAGGGCUUUGUGCUACAUUGGAGUAACCCCCAAAGUGGAAGGGGAAUGCCCAAGGUAAUGAACAGAAGUUUGACCAGGCUCUGAACACGUUUCACACUCACCUACCUGAAACAAUCUGUCUCCUCCAUGUCUCCGAAGAUUGUUACAAGGGUGGCAAAAACCCUGGAGCCGGCCCUGAAGAAUGCAUGCUUUUCCCAGGGAAGACAAGGCCCCAAGAGGGAAAUCCUGCCCUGCCCUUGAGGGCGUCAGGUGUAAUGCAGCUGAAUUGGAAGAG